rnacentral:rRNA from 1 species
GACGAACGCUGGCGGCGUGCCUAAUACAUGCAAGUAGAACGCUGAAGGAGGAGCUUGCUUCUCUGGCUGAGUUGCGAACGGGUGAGUAACGCGUAGGUAACCUGCCUGGUAGCGGGGGAUAACUAUUGGAAACGAUAGCUAAUACCGCAUAAUAGUAGAUGUUGCAUGACAUUUGCUUAAAAGGUGCAUUUGCAUCACUACCAGAUGGACCUGCGUUGUAUUAGCUAGUUGGUGGGGGAAUGGCUCACCAAGGCGACGAUACAUAGCCGAGCUGAGAGGGGGAGAGGCCACACUGGGACUGAGACACGGGCCAGACUCCUACGGGAGGCAGCAGUAGGGAAACUUCGGCAACGGACGGAAGUCUGACCGAGAGACGCCGCGUGAGUGAAGAAGGUUUUCGGAUCGUAAAGCGCAGUUGUAGGAGAAGAACGAGGGUGAGAGUGGAAAGUUCACACUGUGACGGUAUCUUACCAGAAAGGGACGGCUAACUACGUG